GGAAGGCAGCGCGGCGUGGGCCGCAGCCGGCCUCGAAAGCCGGAGCCCGGUGAAAGCCGGCGGGUUCGACUCCUGGGCCUUCCGCCA
rnacentral:tRNA from 1 species